GGGGAUGUAGCUCAGUGGUAGAGCGCUUGCCUAGGAAGCGCAAGGCCCUGGGUUCGGUCCCCAUCUCCG
rnacentral:tRNA from 1 species